rnacentral:rRNA from 1 species
UGGAUCCAGACUUUGAUCAUGGCUCAGGAUGAACGCUAGCUACAGGCUUAACACAUGCAAGUCGAGGGGCAGUAUUCGCGUAGCAAUACGUGAGAUGGCGACCGGCGCACGGGUGAGUAACACGUAUCCAACCUGCCGAACAUUCGGGGAUAGCCUUUCGAAAGAAAGAUUAAUACCCGAUGGCAUGCGCAGACCGCAUGGUUUGCGCGUUAAAGAACUUCGAUGUUCGAUGGGGAUGCGUUCCAUUAGGCAGUUGGCGGGGUAACGGCCCACCAAACCGACGAUGGAUAGGGGUUCUGAGAGGAGGGUCCCCCACAUUGGAACUGAGACACGGUCCAAACUCCUACGGGAGGCAGCAGUGAGGAAUAUUGGUCAAUGGGCGCGAGCCUGAACCAGCCAAGUAGCGUGAAGGAUGACAGCCCUAUGGGUUGUAAACUUCUUUUAUAGGGGAAUAAAGUGGGUCACGUGUGGCCUUUUGUAUGUACCUUAUGAAUAAGGAUCGGCUAACUCCGUGCCAGCAGCCGCGGUAAUACGGAGGAUCCGAGCGUUAUCCGGAUUUAUUGGGUUUAAAGGGAGCGUAGGCGGGGGCUUAAGUCAGUUGUGAAAGUUUGCGGCUCAACCGUAAAAUUGCAGUUGAUACUGGGUCCCUUGAGUGCGGCAGAGGCAGGCGGAAUUCGUGGUGUAGCGGUGAAAUGCUUAGAUAUCACGAAGAACUCCGAUCGCGAAGGCAGCUUGCCGGACCGUAACUGACGCUGAUGCUCGAAAGUGCGGGUAUCAAACAGGAUUAGAUACCCUGGUAGUCCGCACAGUAAACGAUGAAUGCUCGCUGUUUGCGAUACAAUGUAAGCGGCCAAGCGAAAGCGUUAAGCAUUCCACCUGGGGAGUACGCCGGCAACGGUGCAACUCAAAUGAAUUGACGGA